AUUGAAAGCUGGCGGCAGGCUUAACACAUGCACGUCGAGCGAGCGGCGGACGGGUGAGUAAUGUCUGGGAAACUGCCUGAUGGAGGGGGAUAACUACUGGAAACGGUAGCUAAUACCGCAUACCAUCGGAUGUGCCCAGAUGGGCUUAGCUAGUAGGUGGGGUAAAGGCUCACCUAGGCGACGAUCCCUAGCUGGUCUGAGAGGAUGACCAGCCACACUGAAACUGAAAAACGGUCCAGACUCCGACGGGAGUCAGCAGUGGGGAAUAUGGCACAAUGUGCGCAAGCCUGAUGCAGCAAUGCCGCGUGGAUGAAGAAGGCCUUCGCGUCGUGAAGUACUUUCAGCGUGGAGGCGGUACCCGCAGAAGAAGCACCGGCUAACUCCGUGCCAGCAGCCGCGGUAAUAC
rnacentral:rRNA from 1 species